rnacentral:antisense_RNA from 1 species
CUUCACCGAACCCAGCCAGAGCGGCUGCUCCCGCUCCCGGCCGUAGGUGGCGAGGAUCGCCUGGGCCUC